rnacentral:lncRNA from 1 species
ACAGCCCCGAGUCUGUUUCCAGGCAGUGGGCAAGCUAGGCUUGAGAACUUGCCCCAGGCUAUCUGCCUCCCAGCUGUGAAAGAAAAGGGCUUGUUUCUGCCCCCACCUGUGGAAUCUGCACACUGGAUUUGUGCCCUCCCCCCAAGUUCUGGCCAGGAGGCUUCUUGCCCGGUUCAAAUUAUUACAUAGUUCAGCUGGAGACUUCCUUCUCCCUGUGGUGUUCAGCCUCUCCUCUGGCCUCCCUCCCGAUGGAUCCCUGUGGUGCCAGGCAGGAAUGGCCUGCUUGGGGACCCAGGGAGCUCCCAGGGCCUUUCCCGCUGCUUCCUCUACUUCUGUAUUUCACUCGACUCUGUAAACUAACUCAGCUCCAGGGAUACAGUUUCUUACACAUGUGCCCAAGAAAACCAGAAAACGACAUUCACUCCAUAAUUGUAUAAACCUCAAAUGGCAAUCCACCUACGUGUCCAUCGAUGGCAGAAUGAAUAAAUGUGUAAGACGAAAUCAUAUAGAAAACGAAUGCCAAAGAGCUACAGCAGCAACACGGCGAGUUCCCAGGGGCAAGACAGAUGUACAUACCCUAAGAGACUAUUUAAGACACAACAAACAAUACUCUCUUCUGUUUGUGGAUAUAUACAUAUAUAGUGCAAGUUUGAAAAUUUGGGUGGGAUGAGAUGCAUACAUACCAACAGGGGAAAGGAGGAGAACGGGACUAGGGAGGGUCAAAAAGGACUUCCAACGUAUCUGUAACAUAUUAUGACUUAACGGAUGUGAAAUGAAUACAGCGAUUGUAAAGAUUUGUUAAAACUGGGAAGUGGAGACGUGUUUAUUAGUUAAUCUCGGUACUUUUCUGUACCAUGAAAAUUUUUAUAAGAAAAAUACUUACAGAAGCUAUAGUCAGGCUGGUAUGUACUAACUGACCUUGGCUGCAGUGAGUGGUUGAGACCACGGGCAACUGAACAUGUGCUACCCGG